AUUAAACUUAAACAAAAGUUUACAUGGCCCCUCACUCUAUGGAUUAAGGUGACUUAGACACUGGAUACUUCCAAAAAACCUAACAUAUAUAGUUAUUUAAAAAAAAAAACAACUAUAACAGUUAUCGGUUACUAUAGUACUUAAAAAAGCUAAUGUGGAAUGAUGGUUAUCCAGACUUUGUGGAUUGGGCUUUGCAUAACCAGUAGAUCUACCUAAUUCUAUAGACACACAAGAUCUGUACUCUCAUUCCUUACACAUAUGGACCUAUGGUUGUCCCAUUGUGGCCAUUAUUCAACCUUAAUUGUCUGGAGGAAGAGAGAGUCCUCUCCUAUUGCAAACCCUGGAUCAAGUAACAAUUCUAUAGCUUGUUAUCGUUUUUCUGUGCAUUUAUAUAUGAUACAACUGAGAUUAUUCUAGACAUUCAAACUUUGUUAAAAUAAAAGCUCUCAAGGAUCAGACUUUUAACUCAAUUGAUCAUAUGGGAAGAGAAAACUUGAGCUAAAUCUCCCAUGAAAAUUAGUUCUCUUAUUAGAAAAAAGCAACAGCUUUAUUAAAAACCACACACCAAGAGCUUUCUGAAUCUCACGAAUUCAAGCACAUUGAUCAAUAUAUAUAUAUAUAUAUAUAUGUGUAUAUAUUCAUAACAGAUGCAACUAUCAAAAUCAUUUAGGUAGCUCACCCCUUUAAGAACCUAUCAAACCAAUCACUUACUUCUUUUACCAUCAACGGUGUCAUUUGAUGUCCAAUUCCAGGCUGGGCUACAAGCUGCAGGUGAAUUGAUUUUUUGGCAUUAAAAGCAUAGAAUUCAGAAGGGAUUAGCUAGUAAUGGUGUAUAUAAAAUAGAAAAUCAACCAGAAAACUACUAUUUCCACGUUAGAAUAUUAAUUAUGCUGUUCAGUUGGUGAGUAUAUCUGACAAAUGAAAAACAUUUUCUUGUUAUUUUAGAUAUAACUAUUAUUUUCAAUAGCAUUAUAAUUUUAGUAUUGAAAUAUUAUAUUACAAUAAUACUUAAAAUAAUUAAUAUAAAUUUAAAAAAUAAACUUAAUUCUACAAUUAUUGACUUAUAUCCCCAAAAGGUUACGAACUUCUUUUAGAGAUGUUAUCACGGCACCAUGGCCAUUGACACGCCUGGUCCUGCAGUUGAAAUGUUUGCCUCAGCACUAAAG
rnacentral:lncRNA from 1 species